CGUUGAUAGGUCGGAGGUGGAAGCGCUGUGAGGCGUGUAGCUGACCGAUACUAAUUAGCCGAGGGCUUGACCUACAA
rnacentral:rRNA from 1 species